AGUGAACGCUGGCGGUAGGCCUAAUACAUGCAAGUCGAACGGAAGCACAGUAAGCGCUCGCUCUUACGGGUGGCGAGUGGCGGAUGGGUGAGGAAUACAUAGGAAUCUUCUUUUUCGUGGGGGAUUACGUAGGAACACUUAUGAUACUACCGAAUAUGUCCUACGGGAGAAAGCAGAGGUUCUUCGCAGCUUGCCCGACUGUGUGAGACGGUGUCGGACUAGCUAGGUGGGGGGGUAAAGGCACACCAAGGCGACGAUACGUAGCUGAUCUGAGAGGAUGAUCAGCCACACUGGAACUGAGACACGGUCCAGACUCCUACGGGAGGCAGCAGUGAGGAAUAUUCGACAAUGGGCGCAAGCCUGAUCCAGCCAUACCGCGUGGGUGAAGAAGGCCUUCGGGUUGUAAAGCCCUGUUAUUAGGAAAGAAAAGCAGCGGGUGAAUACCCCGAUGUUCUGACGGUACCCAAAGAGUAAGCACCGGCUAACUACGUG
rnacentral:rRNA from 1 species